GAUGUGCCCAGAUGGGAUUAGCUAGUAGGUGGGGUAACGGCUCACCUAGGCGACGAUCCCUAGCUGGUCUGAGAGGAUGACCAGCCACACUGGAACUGAGACACGGUCCAGACUCCUACGGGAGGCAGCAGUGGGGAAUAUUGCACAAUGGGCGCAAGCCUGAUGCAGCCAUGCCGCGUGUAUGAAGAAGGCCUUCGGGUUGUAAAGUACUUUCAGCGGGGAGGAAGGGAGUAAAGUUAAUACCUUUGCUCAUUGACGUUACCCGCAGAAGAAGCACCGGCUAACUCCGUGCCAGCAGCCGCGGUAAUACGGAGGGUGCAAGCGUUAAUCGGAAUUACUGGGCGUAAAGCGCACGCAGGCGGUUUGUUAAGUCAGAUGUGAAAUCCCCGGGCUCAACCUGGGAACUGCAUCUGAUACUGGCAAGCUUGAGUCUCGUAGAGGGGGGUAGAAUUCCAGGUGUAGCGGUGAAAUGCGUAGAGAUCUGGAGGAAUACCGGUGGCGAAG
rnacentral:rRNA from 1 species